rnacentral:tRNA from 1 species
UGGGCUAUCGCCAAACGGUAAGGCAGCGGACUCUGACUCCGCCACUCUCUAGGUUCGAAUCCUAGUAGCCCAG